rnacentral:rRNA from 1 species
CCUACGGGUGGCAGCAGUAGGGAAUAUUGCUCAAUGGGCGAAAGCCUGAUGGAGCAACGCCGCGUGGGUGAAGAAGGUCUUCGGAUCGUAAAACCCUGUUGUUAGAGAAGAAAGUGCGUGAGAGUAACUGUUAACGUUUCGCCGGUAUCUAACCAGAAAGCCACGGCUAACUACGUACCAGCAGACGCGGUAAUACGUAGGUGGCAAGCGUUAUCCGGAUUUAUGGGGCGUAAAGGGAACGCAGGCGGUCUUUUAAGUCUAAUGUGAAAGCCGUCGGCUUAACCGGAGUAGUGCAUUGGAAACUGGGAGACUUGAGAGCAGAAGAGGAGAGUGGAACUCCAUGUGUAGCGGUGAAAUGCGUAGAUAUAUGGAAGAACACCAGUGGCGAAAGCGGCUCUCUGGUCCGUAACUGACGCUGAGGUUCGAAAGCGUAGGUAGCAAACAGGAUUAGAUACCCUGGUAGUC